rnacentral:rRNA from 1 species
UACGAAGGGGGCUAGCGUUGCUCGGAAUUACUGGGCGUAAAGGGCUCGUAGGUGGCCAACUAAGUCAGACGUGAAAUCCCUCGGCUUAACCGGGGAACUGCGUCUGAUACUGGAUGGCUUGAGUUCGGGAGAGGGAUGCGGAAUUCCAGGUGUAGCGGUGAAAUGCGUAGAUAUCUGGAGGAACACCGGUGGCGAAGGCGGCAUCCUGGACCGACACUGACGCUGAGGAGCGAAAGCCAGGGGAGCAAACGGG